rnacentral:tRNA from 1 species
GUCAAUGUGGCAUAGUGGUUUGAGUGUUGGACUGCAACUCUGGAGUCUAGGGUUCGACUCCCAGCUCAGCCA